GACGAACGCUGGCGGCGUGCUUAACACAUGCAAGUGGAGCGACGAACCGGGCUUGCCCGGGGCAGAGCCGCGAACGGGUGAGUAACACGUGGGUUACCUGCCGUGAUGACUGGGACAACCCGUCGAAAGACGGGCUAAUACCGGAUGUGCCCGCAAGGGGAAACGAGGCUUCGGCCUCCGCAUCGCGAUGGGCCCGUGGAGCAUUAGCUUGUUGGUGGGGUAACGGCUCACCAAGGCUUCGAUGCUUAGCUGGUCUGAGAGGACGAUCAGCCACACUGGGACUGAGACACGGCCCAGACUCCUACGGGAGGCAGCAGUGGGGAAUCUUGCGCAAUGCGCGAAAGCGUGACGCAGCAACGCCGCGUGCGGGAAGACGGCCUUCGGGUUGUAAACCGCUUUCAGUUGGGACGAAGCUUCUGCGGUUAAUACCCGUAUGGAGUGACGGUACCUUCAGAAAAAGCCCCGGCUAACUACGUGCCAGCCGCCGCAGUAA
rnacentral:rRNA from 1 species